rnacentral:rRNA from 1 species
GAAAAGAGAGUGCAAGAGAACGUGAAACCGAGAUAAUGGAAACAAAUGGAAUUGACCUAUCUAGUUUGUAUUCAAUAACAUUCAUAUUUUUUACACUAUUAUAUAACAUUCCGUUAAAGUUGUUUUUAUAUAAUAGUUUGUAAUUAUGUACAUGUUAUGCAUUUACAAACAGAGUGCGCUGAAUGAAUUGAUUUUGCCAUUGGAAACUAAUUUAGAGGACUAAUGUACGUUAAAAAUACAUUAGAAACCUAAAUAAUAGUGGACGAUUUGGAUAAAAUUGAUUUCUGUAAUUAUAAUAAGAAAUAUUGGUGUUAUUUGAGCACAUAAUUUUACUAAUACAUGCAUGUUUAUUUAAUAAAACACAUGUGUUUUAUUUUAUUAAUAUGUAUGUUUAUUAGUUUAAAUUAUCCAUGUAUUUCGUAAUUCGGUGUCUAGUCAAUCACCCAUUUGACCCGUCUUGAAACACGGACCAAGGAGUUUAAGGUG